UUGAACGCUGGCGGCAGGCCUAACACAUGCAAGUCGAACGGUAACAGGAAGAAGCUUGCUUCUUUGCUGACGAGUGGCGGACGGGUGAGUAAUGUCUGGGAAACUGCCUGAUGGAGGGGGAUAACUACUGGAAACGGUAGCUAAUACCGCAUAACGUCGCAAGACCAAAGAGGGGGACCUUCGGGCCUCUUGCCAUCGGAUGUGCCCAGAUGGGAUUAGCUAGUAGGUGGGGUAACGGCUCACCUAGGCGACGAUCCCUAGCUGGUCUGAGAGGAUGACCAGCCACACUGGAACUGAGACACGGUCCAGACUCCUACGGGAGGCAGCAGUGGGGAAUAUUGCACAAUGGGCGCAAGCCUGAUGCAGCCAUGCCGCGUGUAUGAAGAAGGCCUUCGGGUUGUAAAGUACUUUCAGCGGGGAGGAAGGGAGUAAAGUUAAUACCUUUGCCCAUUGACGUUACCCGCAGAAGAAGCACCGGCUAACUCCGUG
rnacentral:rRNA from 1 species